rnacentral:rRNA from 1 species
UACGUAGGGUGCAAGCGUUGUCCGGAAUUAUUGGGCGUAAAGAGCUCGUAGGCGGUCUGUCGCGUCGGCUGUGAAAACUUGGGGCUCAACCCCAAGCCUGCAGUCGAUACGGGCAGACUAGAGUGCGGUAGGGGAGACUGGAAUUCCUGGUGUAGCGGUGAAAUGCGUAGAGAUCGGGAAGAACAUCGGUGGCGAAAGCGCUCUACUGGACGGUAUCUGACACUGAGGGACGAAAGCUAGGGGAGCGAAUGGG